rnacentral:misc_RNA from 1 species
AAGUCGUAACAAGGUUUCCGUAGGUGAACCUGCGGAAGGAUCAUUAUUGAAUAAACUUGAUGUGGUUGUAGCUGACUCUCUCGAGAGUAUGUGCUCGCCCGUCAUCUUUAUCUUUCCACCUGUGCACUUCUUGUAGAUUUGGAUGUAGCUUUCCGAGGUAACUCGGUCGGGAGGAAUGUCAACUCUUGUUGACUUUCCUUGUAUAUCCAAGUCUAUGUUUUUAUAUACUCCAAUGAAUGUAACAGAAUGUAUCACUGGGCCUUGUGCCUAUAAACUAUAUACAACUUUCAGCAACGGAUCUCUUGGCUCUC